GACGAACGCUGGCGGCGUGCUUAACACAUGCAAGUCGAACGAAGAGCGAUGGAAGCUUGCUUCUAUCAAUCUUAGUGGCGAACGGGUGAGGAACGCGUAAUCAACCUGCCCUUCAGAGGGGGACAACAGUUGGAAACGACUGCUAAUACCGCAUACGAUCUAACCUCGGCAUCGAGGAUAGAUGAAAGGUGGCCUCUACAUGUAAGCUAUCACUGAAGGAGGGGAUUGCGUCUGAUUAGCUAGUUGGAGGGGUAACGGCCCACCAAGGCGAUGAUCAGUAGCCGGUCUGAGAGGAUGAACGGCCACAUUGGGACUGAGACACGGCCCAGACUCCUACGGGAGGCAGCAGUGGGGAAUCUUCCGCAAUGGACGAAAGUCUGACGGAGCAACGCCGCGUGAGUGAUGACGGCCUUCGGGUUGUAAAGCUCUGUUAAUCGGGACGAAAGGCCUUCUUGCGAAUAGUGAGAAGGAUUGACGGUACCGGAAAAGAAAGCCACGGCUAACUACGUG
rnacentral:rRNA from 1 species